GGCCUCCGCCCACCGCCACGUGACCCUCUGCCCAGCCCCGCCGCGUGACCUCUGUCUCCGUCGAAGCCAAGUCCAGCCGUCGUCCAUUCCUUUCCUCUCUUCUUCUCCGUUCGUGAAGCCCAGUCGCCGCGUCAGAUCGUCGAUCGAUUUUGAGGCAGCGCGCACGCCUCCUUCUAGCCGCGCGUUUCCUCUUCUUCCAGCAACGUGUUUUUUCUUCUAACCGCGAUUCACAAACCGACGUACACUCUAAUCUGUUUGCACGAUGGUUUUUGUUUAGAAUCGAUUGCCGCUGCCCCUAUUUUUACUGAGAUCCGUCGAAGUAUUGUUGGUGUGAAAGGUAACCUUGGAUCACUUAAAUUCACAACCAAUUUGUGAAUUUUGAUUUCGGUUUGCCCUUAUUUGGAUUGUUUCGUGGACGAUAGUUGAUUAAGGGAGCUUCCCUAACUUUGAGGUAAGGGACUUUCUACUGGACUCACCUAAAGUUUUUGAGUUGUGUUGGACUGUAUGGAUGAUGAUUAAGAUGUACACGUUUGGUUGCAGACUAAAUGUUUAGUGUAUGUUGUAUUUGACUGGAAACAUAUAUAUAAAUACAUUGAUGUGUGAAUUGAUGUGGAUUGCCGAAAGUAUACAUGUGAAUGACUGAAAUUAUGCUUAUGUGUACAUGAUGAUAUUAAUAGAUUGUGCUGUAUAAAGAUUUGGAUGUGAA